AUAAUAAUCCAAAUAAAAUCUCUCUAUUAAUCUGUGAACUCAAAGUAGUUUUUUCUCUAAAAGAGCUAGAAAAAUUUAAUUAUUUUCUAGGCUUGGAAGCUAACUAUUUACCCAAGGGAUAGCUGCUAGUUACUCAAUCCAAAUAUGCCGCAAAGCUUCUGAAAAAGUUAGGAAUGGAACAUUCAAACCCAUUACCAACUUCGAUGAUGACAAGCAUCAAAUUAUCAACCAAUGAUUCUGAAGCGUAUCACAAUUCGAGAGAAUAUCGAGCAAUUGUUGAUGUGUUGCAAUAUUUGACCAGACCUGACAUUUCAUUUCCAGUUAAUCGGGUGUCUCAAUUUAUGCACAGUCCAACAAUACAACAUUAGAAAAAUGUCAAGCGUAUACUUAGAUUCGUCAAAGGUACAGUAAACUAUGGUAUUUUAUUUUCAAAAUCUACUGACUUUCGUAUCCUUGCAUUUACAGAUGCUAAUUGUGGUGAAGAUUUGGACAAUCGCAAGUCAAUUACUGGAUACUGUAUUUAUUUCGUUUGUAAUCUAAUCUCGUAGAGAAGUGUGAAGCAAACCAAGGUGAGUCGCAGUAGCAGUAGCACAGAGGCAAAAUAUCGAGCGGUUGCGGCAGCACAAGCAAAGAUCAUGUCCAUCCAAAAGCUUGUGAGAGAGCUCAAGAUACCUCAACCAGUAGCUCCUACCAUAUACUGUAACAAUCAAGAAAAAUCAAUUCUCCCAGUCCUCUUCUCCUUCUCCUUGCUCGUUGGUUGCUUUCCCAAACUGUUUUCGCUGCGUGCUCCCCUGCUUCACGCCAUCCUGUCAUGGCCCGUGUCCCGCUUUGUCCCGCCUUCACUGCCCUGCCUCGCACCGGCAGGCUGUCGCCGCCCUCCCUCGUGCCGUUGGGCUAUCGAAGACUUGCCUCACGUCGUCUAAGAGGCCAACAAGAGUGGUAACAACUGGUUACCUCUACCAUGGGCAAUUGUUGCCUUGCUUAUUCUGGGAUUUAACGAGUUUAUGACACUUCUAAGGUGAGUGUUAGCUUUAUAAUAUGCAAAUAUAUAAUGUGUUACUGUUAAACUUGUGUUCACGCAAAUACCACUUUACUCCAUCUACGUAAUGUAAUUGGUCUAACCCAAGUUUGUUAUUCUAUGGCAGAAAUCCUUUAUAUUUGAUUCUCAUUUUUAUUGGUUAUCUUGUCAUUAAAGCCCUAAGCCAUAUGGGUGCAACAUGACGUCGCGGGUGAUUUUCGCCAUGGUGCAGUGAGCAUCUCUAGAAUGACCGUUGAUUAGUAACAAGUUCAUUAAUCUAAUAUAGCUAAUGACUUUGGUUGCACACACUAAUAGCAAUUCUGUGCAAUUUCAUAUGACAUUUAGUAUAUAAAUUUUAGUAUAUAGAUGCAUAUGGCUUGUGGAGUCUAACCAAGUUUGCAUAUGCCUUUUUUUCAGCUAGCUGGACUCCUAUCCUGUCUAUCAAGCUUCUUCCAACUAUAAUGAACCUUAUGAGAAAGCUAGCAAAGGAGGGGUUCCUCAAACUAACAAUCCUUGGCCAUAUCUAUCAACAAGUAAUCAAACUGCUGGUAGCACUGUGUCAUCUACUACUUCAUCGAAGGUAACUAUUUUGGAACGUGGAACCGAGUGCACAACUCAUCUUUAUGGCAGUGCCAAAUCUUAUGUUGAGGUGUGAUAGCAAUCCAAUACUGGUUUGUGGCAAUUCAAAUAUUUAAUGCAUUAAUAAGCAUGAGUAUUUAUGCAAAUGCAACAUACAAUUUUUUUAUUUUAUUUUAUUUUUUGUUACAAUUAACCUACCCAUUGAAAUAGAUAUAUUUUUUCCAA